CCUACGGGAGGCAGCAGUGGGGAAUCUUGCGCAAUGGGCGAAAGCCUGACGCAGCAACGCCGCGUGCGGGAUGACGGCCUUCGGGUUGUAAACCGCUUUCAGUGGGGGACGAACCAAGACGGUACCCACAGAAGAAGCCCCGGCCAACUACGUGCCAGCAGCCGCGGUAACACGUAGGGGGCGAGCGUUGUCCGGAUUUAUUGGGCGUAAAGAGCUCGUAGGCGGUUCGAUAAGUCGGGUGUGAAACCUCCAGGCUCAACCUGGAGACGCCACCCGAUACUGUUGUGACUAGAGUCCAGUAGGGGAGCGUGGAAUUCCUGGUGUAGCGGUGAAAUGCGCAGAUAUCAGGAGGAACACCAGUGGCGAAGGCGGCGCUCUGGGCUGGAACUGACGCUGAGGAGCGAAAGCGUGGGGAGCGAACAGGAUUAGAUACCCUGGUAGUCCACGCCGUAAACGUUGGGUACUAGGUGUGGGGUACUUAUCAACGGAUUCCGUGCCGCAGCUAACGCAUUAAGUACCCGCCUGGGGAGUACGGCCGCAAGGCAAAACUCAAAUGAAUUGACGGCGNGAAGAGUGCGAGACGACGACGAGGAGAGG
rnacentral:rRNA from 1 species